UACAGAGGUCUCAAGCGUUGUUCGGAUUCAUUGGGCGUAAAGGGUGCGUAGGUGGCGUCGUAAGUCGGGUGUGAAAUUUCGGAGCUUAACUCCGAAACUGCAUUCGAUACUGCGGUGCUUGAGGACUGGAGAGGAGACUGGAAUUUACGGUGUAGCAGUGAAAUGCGUAGAUAUCGUAAGGAAGACCAGUGGCGAAGGCGAGUCUCUGGACAGUUACUGACGCUGAGGCACGAAGGCCAGGGGAGCAAACGGG
rnacentral:rRNA from 1 species